UUCUACGCAGAUUUUCCUCCUCCGUGAUGGAACUUUUCCUCCUCCGUAAGUUGCAAAUAAAAUACCAAAACAAAUCCAAUUUCAGCAAAAUCACAUUAAAUAAAAAAAAGGGGAAUUCGAAAUUCAUCCCCUAAUUCCACGUUGAAACCGUUCCCCUCUAUCCCACAAAUCUCUCCCAUAUCCCCAACCCCCUCUCCACUACAUUAAAUCCUAUAUCAGUUAUUCUUUUUCUUCACCUAUCGUAUCUGCAAGCAAGAAAGCAAGAACCAUUCUUCAACUUCUAUUCAAGAAACCACAUCUGGAGCUGGAGGAACCUCUUUGUUCACCCAACACUAUUAUCAUCCCAAUUCAACUUCAGGCAGAAGGUGAGACUUCGCAAGGGAAUCGUGAUCGCAAGGGAAAGAAAGUGAUUUCGGA